GAUGAACGCUGGCGGCGUGCCUAAUACAUGCAAGUCGAGCGAACGGACGAGAAGCUUGCUUCUCUGAUGUUAGCGGCGGACGGGUGAGUAACACGUGGAUAACCUACCUAUAAGACUGGGAUAACUUCGGGAAACCGGAGAUAAUACCGGAUAAUAUUUUGAACCGCAUGGUUCAAAAGUGAAAGACGGUCUUGCUGUCACUUAUAGAUGGAUCCGCGCUGGAUUAGCUAGUUGGUAAGGUAACGGCUUACCAAGGCAACGAUGCGUAGCCGACCUGAGAGGGUGAUCAGCCACACUGGAACUGAGACACGGUCCAGACUCCUACGGGAGGCAGCAGUAGGGAAUAUUGCGCAAUGGGCGAAAGCCUGACCGAGCCAUGCCGCGUGGGUGAAGAAGGUCUUCGGAUUGUAAAACUCUUUUAUUAGGGAAGAAAAGAAGUGGGAGAAAACGUGGACGUUUUGACGGUACCUAAUCAGAAAGCCACGGCUAACUACGUG
rnacentral:rRNA from 1 species